ensembl:lncRNA
CUUUGUGGAGAAGGUUGACAAUGGCACCACCUUGUGCAAAAUCUGAUCAUAACAGUUGAUUUCAAAGCGCAACUCUCUGACUACAUACACGUACAUAAACUGCAAGCGACGCGACAAACUACAACGGUUUCUAUUAUAAUGAACAACUCUGCGACGCGGUGAAAUGAAGUUUGUCGCGUCGCGUCAGAUGGGGCUUGAGCGUCGGGGCGUCGCCUUGGCUCGACCCGAACCAAUCGGGAUUCCGCUCAGAACUUUGUAAACAACACAGUUGCACGCUGUAUGAAAACUUUACUACGAGAGGAUGUCGCGUGCCGAGGACCGCCAGAACAUCACUCAACCAGCCCAGGGAGUCAUUUCUAAUAACAACACAAUGGAUGCUUCCAAGUGCACCGUCAAGUUUCAACAUCCUCAUUGCUGGAAGGCUGGAAUUCCUCCAGGAAGGCCGAAAGAAGCCUGGCACUUGCUUGCAGCUUGCAGCCAGGCUUGGGCAGCUGGGAUCUGGAAGGAGUUCCCUGCAGUUCUGGAGCACUCUGGCACCGCUCACACCCCCUACAUCAAACCCGUACCACACACCCCGCCUGCUCCCGCUCCACCUUCUUCUGCACAACACAAUACAGAGGAGCUCUGUGCUUCUGUACACCCACACACACACACACACAGAGAGAGACAGCGAGCUGUAAAUGCGAUUCAAGGAUUCAAGCAGGCGCCCCUCAGUUGCCGACUCUGCUCUGUGUGGCACUUGACACAGGCGCUCUCGCAUAAUCUGCCUAUUAUUCAUUGUUAGUGGCGAGACUCUUCAACACACUUCAAGGUCUAUUCAUCUGCAGAAACAAGUACUGAACUGGGUAUCAGCACUGUGGAAACGGUCCCCCAUUUGCCCUUUCAAAUUCGCCUACCAUGCAAGAUACGGCGUUGAACAGGAGCUGUUUCUUCAGCUGGAAUCUAUAGUGGUUUCUUUCCCCCAAGAGCGUCACGGCACCUGCAAGGAGCCGCGAGAGUUUUGGCUACACCAGUAAGGCACCGCAAGCCCCGCCUACCUGCUGAAAGGCAGCCUGCUGACACCCUCCUGAUCGGUUGUCUGGGAUUCUCAGCAGCCAAAAAAGCAGUAAAAAAGGAAUUCCUUCCUAAUGGUCCAUGAAAGCUGUGAUUCACCACUUAUUAUUGUUCGAGCCCUGGCGAAUCUUUCCAUAUUACCUCAGCAUUGUAACCUUCAGAAAACCUGUCCGUCACACUCUAGGGUUUAUUUUCACAUCGUGCCACCUCGUCUCUCUGUUCUGACUUGCUUGAGCAGAUCUAUGGAAUACAGUCGAGUAAUCAAUGGCCCAGAAAGCUCUUCCAGCUGGACACUUGUCAUUGGUGAUGGAGGAAAACCAUGGCAACCGGCCGCUUCUAAAGGACCGCUGGCGUUAGGGAGGUCAGUGCCCUGCCACGAACCCCCUCGCAAGUAAACAGACUUGACGGGGAAGGGCUUUCAGACUUGGACUGUGUUCCUUUCAAUAAUUGCGCUCAUUGUUCUCCAGCCACUGUCAGUUAUGGUCGCAAGCUGUUUGGUAGGCCCCUGUCUGUCUGCAACCCCCCUACGCUAGCAGUGGUAGUGUUGCACCCUCAUGGCUAUCUGCUUGUGCCAGGGCUGAGAUGCCAGCUUGGUGGCCCUGAUGCCCUGAAACUGAUGUGUCUGACAGUGACAGUGUAGGUGUGCUUAGCAGAAUGAAAAUAAAACUUCCUGCCUUCCUUUUGACA